UUCGCGUGUUUGGUAUUACGCAUAUUAUAAAUAGCAACCAUAUAAUAUUUUUGCAGAGUGUAGUACCGAWACUACGAGCAACCAGUGGAAAAUUUUUUCAUAGCAGAAAACAUGAUACKGAAAUAMCUUGGAAUAUUAUUUUCACGAAUAAGUUUAUUUUCUAUAGUUUUCUUUUAAUCAAUAUGGGAAUCGCAAAUACAAAGUGUUUAUUUUUUAUUACAUUUGGCCUCCUUUGAGUUUAAUAUGUAUAAGAAUAACUAUGUAAUUGGUAUAAAUUUMACUCGAAGUGCUUUAGACGAGGUCAAAGUGAGAUCUGCCGAAAACGUAACGUCAUCUAGCUCAUCAACCGGUUCCAGCUCAAAAUUGUACAAUAUAAAAGCUACGAAGACUUUAAGCUCGAGCAUUGCCAACUUCUGACCUGCAGCAUGAAAAAUACAAGAAUGAAAACAAAAAAUUGUAUAGUUUCUGUGCUGAUUUCAACAAGAGACAUAUACCAAUACAGUUUCUCGGUCCUGCACUAAAUGGUAUGUAGACAUAGGGAUGACGUCCUUUAAUAUUUUCCGGCAAAAAUCUGUCCGGAUCAAAAACAUUUGGAUUUGGCCAAUAUUCUGAACGUCUGUGCACGCUGUAAACGUUAACUCCCAACAUCGUACCAGAUGGAAUUAAAUAAUGUUCUGCAAAAUAAAUGCAAUUACAUAGAAAAUAAAAUAAACAAUCAAUAGUAUAA